rnacentral:misc_RNA from 1 species
ACCAAAACCACGAGCACGACCAGUGAUCCGAUCUUUCAUUAUCACAGCUUCAAUCACAUCACCAAAAGCUUGGAAAUAUACUUUGAGACGAUCUUCAUUAGUGUCCCAAGAAAUUCCACCAACAAACAAUUUUCCAGGCUCCAUUUCCAUUCAAUAGAUGAUGAAAGAAGGCUACAAGAAGAGAAAUGGGUGUUAUUCAAGAUCGAUUAGAGAGGCAUAUAUAGAAAGAGGGGCUUAAAAGGCCCUCUCUUUUUCCUCUCUAAACGUUCUAAAUUCACCAAAACACAAAAAUGGAGUUUUUAUUUUUUAGCAAAAGAGAGAGAGAGGAAGGAGAAGAAGGGAAUGAGAGGAAAAAGGUAAGAGAGAAAAGAGAGUGUGGUGUAAG